CCAUCAAAGAGCGCUGGGCUGGCACACUGAGCGGACGGCCCGCCCCAGCUGCCUCCCACCCCUUAGCAGUCCAGCGGGGCCAGGGUUACGGGAGGCGGGUCUUUCCGCCUGGUCAGCUCAGUACUGGAGGCCCUUCACUCUUCGCUGCUCACGGCAGGACAGAAACAGAUGUCGGUGGACAGGAUCAGGCUCAUCAGGAGCCAUGCCCCUAGCGACAUGCAGCCCCUCACUUUCCCCUUUCUUAAUACCACUGCCCCCAGCUGCCCAGGACCCUGAGAAGGUGGGCUGGGGGUCUGCUCUGAGCAGUAGGGACUCAGACAGGACCAGGGCAUACAACAGGCAUCCAAUAAAUGCUGGCUGUCACCUGGCAGGAGCCACGGUCUCCAGUGCUGUGGCCUGGGGCUGGCCAAGGCCCUACCGGGAUGCAAACACUUCUCCCUUGAUUUCUCCCAGACACCAUCCAGGAUCCAGGGAUGUCCUGCAGUCAUCACAUGGAAGCCACAGGCCUCUCCAGAAACCAUCUUCCCACCAAUGUCAGUGUAACACGUGAGUGACAUAGCAGCAAAGGUGAAGAACCUGGGCAGAGCUGACCCAUGGCAGCAUCCAGCAGUGUGGCAGCCUAUUCUGUGACUGCCACAUUACCCUCAUUGUCCUGGGGACUGGCAAGAAGGUACAGACAUGUUCCUGAGAGAUACCUUGGCACCUUGGGAUCAACUGAAAGUCUAUUGACAUGGGAGCAAGCAAACUCUCGUCACUCUCACUUGGGCCCUCUCUGGGCCCUGACUCUGUGUCUGGCAUACCCUUUGAUGGGUCCUGCCUCUUCUUGGCUUCACUCCUGUGUGGCAGGUGUGUCUUCAGGCUACCAUGAUGUAUUAUUCUUGCUGUUUGGAGUUCUCUCAACCACUUGUUACUGAACUUCUCAAUGCCAAACUAAGGGGUUGGAGGCAGGAGCAAGGCUUUGUCUCAAACAACUUCAUGUCAGCUAGGGUGAAUGCUUCAUAAAUAACAGCUGACAUGACUGCCACCAUAGCAAUGAGUGGCCCUGAUGGCUUCUGAACCCAGGACAGAUCUCAGCUAGGUAUCUGCUCCCUUUCUCUGGAGUAAGGAAGACCACCCACAGAGGGGCAGUGAGCCACUCAGCCUUGCUAGUAGGGGUUCUCAGGAUCAAGUGCUGUGGUCACUGCAUGCCCGCUCUGGCUCAGGGUCAGGGUUACUAUCUGCUGUGGGCACUAGUCAGCUGAUGUAUGCCUGUCCCCUAGGGGAAGCACUCACAUCCAUGUCCCUUUGCACCCAACAAACCUGUUACAGCACCCUUGUCCCUGCCAACCCCCAGAAGUCAAGAGCCAAGACCCUGUGUAACUCAGUAGAGGACUUGCCUAGUGUGCAUAAGGCCCUGGUUCCAUCCCCAGUACUGAAAGAAAAUCCAGGUCACCAAGGCUAACAGGAAAGCAGUGACAACAGGUCAGGCCACAAGGAUGGGGCUCAGCCAUCUCUCCACUAUGGUGGCCCCACAUCUCCCUCCCAGGGUACCAUCCACGCCUUUUGACUAAGGUCUGAUCCCUGCUGCUGCCCUAAAGGGAGUCCUCCUCACACUGUCUCUAAAGGAUUUUGAUUCCAGGGAUAUGUUUUUGUCCAGGAGCCAGGAUAAAGUGGACACUAUGAGACAGUCAAGUAGGGUCAGGGCCAGCAGGUGGAUGUGAAGGGUGCAAAGUUCAGGACAGCACUUGUCUACCACCCCAGCCCCAGUGGCCUAGGAAGAAGGAGAGAGCAGCCUGCCGCUAGCCCAGCAUCUCUUCAACUAGGAAGCCUCAGUGACAUCACGUGUGCCAGGGCUGGGCUGCAACCCUGGAGGCUUGAGUGGCUUCCUGUGUCUCAAUGAAGCAGGACUUAUCUGACCCAGAGUAUGCCCUUUGUCCAAGAGAGGGUCCUGAUCUGUCUCACAGUCUUGGAGGUCCAUAUGCUACUCACUAGGAACAGGCCAGGGCAGUUGGAUGAGCAGUAGGCCCCAGCCUGGCCGUGGUCCAGGUGUGGUGUCUGAGACAUGUCUGUAAAAGAGGCAAGGGCCUGCUGGCCUUCUCCAUCCCCAGUGUCAUCUUCCCAAAAUAGGUAUCCUUGUGUGUGUGGGGGGGUAUAUCUUGAGGGCCUCAGCAAGAAAAGCCACACCACCCUGCAGGCCACUUCCUGUUCUCCUCUUGGGGACACCUGCCCUCCUGCUGCACAUACCUGUGCUUUCCUCUGUUGCUCCCUCCAUUGGGUGUGCAGCCCCAUCCUGACAACUUUUUUUUUUCUUCUUCUGGUACUAGGGAUGGAACUCAGAACCUUGCACUUGCCAGGCAGGCACGGCACCACUGAGCUACAUCCCUGGCCCCCAUCCUGACAACUUUAACCCCACAGCUUCUGCAGGUAGUGGAUACCUUCUGGCACCCCAUGUUAGCUAUCAUUUUUUCUUCUACCUGACUCAUCUCUGAUCCCCCUAAAACCUCCACAGUGCCAAAGACCAAUAGCUACCACUCAAGCUAUUUGACCAGGGAACAUCCUGACUGGGAAAUGAGGAACAUGGUGCCCAGGUGGGCCAGCUUCCCACAUCCCUCCCUCUACUGCCCUCCGCACUGCUGUCUGGAGAUAUCUUUCUCUGCUUUCUAGGAGCCCUGUGGCAAUGAGGACAAGUUCUAAGCAUGUGAUUAUGUAUGCUGGGGUCCCUCUUGCCCCUUUGUUGCUGUAGAAUCUGUUGUGGCAAACAAAAGUGCACUGGAUUAGCCACAGUGGAUUAAAAGAUUUUCUUCUCA